rnacentral:misc_RNA from 1 species
UCCUCGUUUAAGCGAGGCAGUCUGUCCAGAGUGCUCCCUACUCUCGUAGGGGUGGCAACAGAACAUAAGGGUUGCGCUCGUUGCGGGACUUAACCCAACAUCUCACGACACGAGCUGACGACAGCCAUGCAGCACCUGUGCAAGCUCCCCUUGCGGGGUCGUUCCGCUUUCACGGUCCUACCACGUGCAUGUCAAGGCCAGGUAAGGUUCUUCGCGUUGCAUCGAAUUAAGCCACAUACUCCACCGCUUGUGCAGGCCCCCGUCAAUUUCUUUGAGUUUUAAUCUUGCGACCGUACUCCCCAGGCGGGGUGCUUAAUGCGUUAGCUUCGGCACGGACGGGGUCGAUGUCCGCCCACGCCUAGCACCCAACGUUUACGGCUAGGACUAC